rnacentral:rRNA from 1 species
UCGAUUUGGAGUUUGUUGCCUAGAGUGAUGGGCUCCGAAGCUAACGCGAUAAAUCGACCGCCUGGGGAGUACGGCCGCAAGGUUAAAACUCAAAUGAAUUGACGGGGGCCCCGCACAAGCGGUGGAGCAUGUGGUUUAAUUCGAUGCAACGCGAAGAACCUUACCUGGUCUUGACAUCUACAGAAUCUUGCAGAGAUGCGAGAGUGCCUUCGGGAAUUGUGAGACAGGUGCUGCAUGGCUGUCGUCAGCUCGUGUUGUGAAAUGUUGGGUUAAGUCCCGCAACGAGCGCAACCCUUAUCCUUUGUUGCCAGCGAUUCGGUCGGGAACUCAAAGGAGACUGCCGUUGAUAAAGCGGAGGAAGGUGGGGACGACGUCAAGUCAUCAUGGCCCUUACGACCAGGGCUACACACGUGCUACAAUGGCGUAUACAAAGGGAGGCGACCUCGCGAGAGCAAGCGGACCUCACAAAGUACGUCUAAGUCCGGAUUGGAGUCUGCAACUCGACUCCAUGAAGUCGGAAUCGCUAGUAAUCGUGAAUCAGAAUGUCACGGUGAAUACGUUCCCGGGCCU